rnacentral:lncRNA from 1 species
CAAAUGCACUAGAGACAAAAGAGUGGGUAGCACUUAUAUCGAUCAAAGCCUUGGCAAAAGUAUCGUGAAUAGAAAGCAUACCCUAGAUAAGGACAGGAGUGGGGAGGGCACUGGGAUCAUUUAGGUGGUACACAUGACCCUAGGAUACAGGUCUGGCCACGACCUUCAGUCGCUGAGGGUAGUCCUUUAUAAGAUGCGAAGUGCUUUCUCACACCGAUAGCAGGCGUGAUU